UUCCUACGGGGGGCAGCAGUGAGGAAUAUUGGUCAAUGGGAGAGAUCCUGAACCAGCCAAGCCGCGUGAGGGAAGACGGCCCUAUGGGUUGUAAACCUCUUUUGUCGGGGAGCAAGACCCGCCACGAGUGGCGGAGCGAGAGUACCCGAAGAAAAAGCAUCGGCUAACUCCGUGCCAGCAGCCGCGGUAAUACGGAGGAUGCGAGCGUUAUCCGGAUUUAUUGGGUUUAAAGGGUGCGCAGGCGGACCAUCAAGUCAGCGGUAAAAUCGUGGGGCCCAACCCCAUCCCGCCGUUGAAACUGGCGG
rnacentral:rRNA from 1 species